rnacentral:tRNA from 1 species
GCCGAAAUGGCGGAAGCGGUAGACGCAGUUGAUUCAAAAUCAACCGUUGAAAAACGUGCCGGUUCGAGUCCGGCUUUCGGCACCA